GUCUAUGGCCAUACCACCCUGAACAUGACUGAUCUCAUCUGAUUUCGGAAGCUAAGCAGGGUCGAGCCUGGUUAGUACUUGGAUGGGAAAAUUAUAUGAAACGCAAAAUUUCAGUGCCCCAAAAU
rnacentral:rRNA from 1 species